rnacentral:rRNA from 1 species
AUUGAACGCUGGCGGCAGGCCUAACACAUGCAAGUCGAGCGGAUGAAGGGAGCUUGCUCCUGGAUUCAGCGGCGGACGGGUGAGUAAUGCCUAGGAAUCUGCCUGGUAGUGGAGGAUAACGUCCGGAAACGGGCGCUAAUACCGCAUACGUCCUGAGGGAGAAAGUGGGGGAUCUUCGGACCUCACGCUAUCAGAUGAGCCUAGGUCGGAUUAGCUAGUUGGUGGGGUAAAGGCCUACCAAGGCGACGAUCCGUAACUGGUCUGAGAGGAUGAUCAGUCACACUGGAACUGAGACACGGUCCAGACUCCUACGGGAGGCAGCAGUGGGGAAUAUUGGACAAUGGGCGAAAGCCUGAUCCAGUCAUGCCGCGUGUGUGAAGAAGGUCUUCGGAUUGUAAAGCACUUUAAGUUGGGAGGAAGGGCAGUAAGUUAAUACCUUGCUGUUUUGACGUUACCAACAGAAUAAGCACCGGCUAACUUCGUG